rnacentral:rRNA from 1 species
GGCCUCAAGUGAUGUGUGACUACCCCCU